rnacentral:lncRNA from 1 species
UUGAGUUUCAUGUGCUUUGCAAAUUGUAUCUUGGUUAGUCGAAGUUUGUGGGCUAAUGCCCACUUAUCAGUGAGUGCAUAUCUAAUGACUUCUUUUGUAAUUGGGUUACCUCACUCAGGAUGUUAUCCUCCAGAUCCAUCCAUUUGCCUAGGAAUUUCAUCAAUUCAUUGUUUUAAUAGCUGAGUAGGACACCACUGUGUAAAUGUACCACAUUUUCUGUAUCCAUUCCUCUGUUGAGGGACAUCUGGCUUCUUUCCAGCUUCUGACUAUUAUAAAUAAGGCUGCUAUGAACAUAGUGGAGCAUGUGUCCUUCUUACCAGUUGGGGCAUCUUCUGGAUAUAUGCCCAGGAGAGGUAUUGUGGGAUCCUCUGGUAGUACUAUGUCCAGUUUUCUGAGGAACUGCAAGAUUGAUUUCCAGAGUGGUUGUACCAGCUUGCAAUCCCACCAGCAAUGUAGGAGUAUUCUUCUUUCUCCACAUCCUUGCCAGCAUCUGCUGUUACCUGAAUUUUUUAUCUUAGCCAUUCUGGCUGGUGUGAGGUGGAAUUUCCGGUUUGUUUUGAUUUGCAUUUCCCUGAUAAUUAAGGAUAUUGAACAUUUUUUUCAGGUGCUUCUCAGGCAUUUGGUAUUCCUCAGUUGAGAAUUCUUAAUGAUCUGUAAAACCUACCAAUCUCUUAAAAUCUUUAUAAUACCCCUGGACUGGUAGGGUGCCAUGGGGUGCAACAGACCACAGCCAGAUACUGCAGCCUAGAUAGAACUUUAUCCAGCACUGAUUAAGGUGACUUUAAACAACUUUCACUGGAACCUUUCUUUUAAAGAUUUAAAGACAGCUACUUAAAAGAUUUCCUUUGUCACCUGUGAUGGUUUGUAUAUGCUUCAGCCAGGGACUGGCACUAUUAGGAGUUGUGUCCUUGUUGGAGUAGGGGUGGCCUAGUUGGAGUAGGUAUGACACUAUGGGUGUGGACAAUAAUUUUAGUCCUGGAAGUGAGUAUUCUGCUAGCAGCCUUCAGAUGAAGAUGUAGAACUCUCUGCUCCUUCUGCACCAUGCCUGCCUGGAUGGUGCCAUGUUCCCACCUUGAUGAUAAUGGACUGAACCUCUGAACCUGUAAGCCAGCCCCAAUUAAAUGUUGUCCUUUAUAAGACUUACAUUGAUCAUGGUGUCUGUUCACAGCAAUAAAAUCCUAACUAAGUCAUCACCCAUUCAGCCAAAGAUAGUAAAGAUUUAUAAUUUUUUUUAAUUUUAAAGGAAAUGUAGGUCCCAGUUGCUGGAGUUGGCUUAAAGGAUGCUUAAGGACAUAGAACAAUUGAGACAAGAUCUUGUGCAUAAACUGAAAGCUACCGUCUCCACUGAUGAUAAGAUUUUUGGUUUCUUACCCGCUGUCAGAAGAAACCAACCCUCAGGACUAGCCUAAGACCAGGCUCCUAUAAUUGUUAAACUACCUCUGUCCAGAUGAAAGAAGACCCAGAGACCCUGGUAACAAAAGGGGGAAAUUGCUGUCUUCCAUAUUGCCUGGAUAAAGAGACAGACAUCCAGGAGCCUUGGCUGUCACCCUGGAACAUACUCCUCCUGCUUAAGAGGAAACAUGGGGCCUUCAAUUCUCGAGUCUGAUUCAUCCAGAGAUACAGGUGUACAGGGUCUUGGAUCUGAAAGAUGUACUCUUUAUUCCCUCAUUGGCAGAGGCUGUUGACCUGGCUGCCUGACAAACAGUCCUCAGACCAGCGGGACCUAUUGAUAUUCUGAUGACAUUUCACAAACAUGGUACUGCCUGAGACUCCAUGGUGAAGAAGAAAUGGACAGCUCAAACGGUCAGGUUGGUGGAGGCCACCGGAGGGAAGGAUCAUUCUCCUAGAAGCAACUGACAGGACUCUGGGAACUGAAGUUCACCAGGCUUCUGAUCCAGGGUCCACAAAACUCUCUGAGUUUCCCAGACCAAGGGCUUGGAUUGUACAACAUAGCAUCGUCCUCCAGGCUGCAACCAUGAGUUUUCCCAGUCAAGUUGUACAGAUGUCUGGUCAUGUUAAGUGAAAUGAGUCUCCUGGUGGGCCUGUGGCCCUGGCUUUAGAAGACCACCUGUGGAACUUUCCAACUGAGGGCUCUUCAGAGUGGCAGAGAAGCUGCUGAUCUGUUGCCCUGGCUGUAGUAGAUCUCCUGGGAGGCCUUCAGACUGGUAGAUCUUCAGAGGAGCAGUCAAGUUGUUGUCCUGUGCGAAGAUGUUCUCCACGGGGACCUAUGUACUGUGGUUUCUGUAUCCCUAUGUGCAGCAGCACUCCUGGGAGGCUUUCAGUCUGUCGGGUCAGUUGCCCUGCAUGCCACAGAGCCUCUGGAAGGUCUUUAGACUGUGGUGUCUUUUGUCCAGUUGCCCUGUAUACAGAGGAACUCCUGGGAUGCCUUCAAGCUGUGGUGUCUUCAGGGGAACAGACAAGCUGGUGAUCAGUUGCCCAGCUGUUCUGAGUGCAGCAGAUCUUCUGGGAUGGUUCAGGAUAUAGUGUCUUCAGAGGACCAGACGAGAUAGCAGUCUGCCCCCCAGCAGAAAGAGGAGAGUGGUAUUUGGUGGGCAGGGGUUUUGGUGGGUGAUGGGUCCCAAGUCCACUGGCCUCCCAAUGGGAGCUCUGGGACUUGGGGAGUAGGGUCUUACCAACUGCUCUGAGUGCAGCAAAUCCUUUAGGAUUCAUUGAAUCAUGAUAUGGUGUUUUCAGGGGAGCAGACCAGCUAGCAACCUACCCCAGCAGAAAGAACUAGGCAGAAGGGCAAUAAUUUGUUCUUAUUGUUAAGAGUUUUUCUGAUGGGCUUUUCCCCUGUAAAUAAGCAAAAAUGGUGAGAGAUGGGCUGAAUAGAUUCCUGAAUUCAAAGCUAGUUUACUCUGCCUUGCUGUUCUAGUUGCUUUGUGGAAAAAAAAAACACUAUCAAGCAGCCAACUGAACCCCCCUGCUGCCCAUUUUGAGAAGGCUUGGUUGUGGCCUGGCCAGCAACUGUUUCAAGUAGCUUUUGAGGACUUUGCCAGAAACCUUUUGCUUCAUGCUUACUUGCUAAAUAUGGACUGUUGUAAACUGGUGCAAAAGAGACAAUGGACGCUUGGUGUGAAUGUAAUCCUUUGUUGACUUGAAGGCUACUGUGAUUGGUGUAAACACUUCUUGUAUAGCUACAGAAGCAGGUUGUUCAGCUCACUUAGUGAGCCAGCCAGAAGGCACCCUUCUGUACUGCCUCCCCUGGUUUGCAAUGUCAGGCAAGGAGGACAGCUUUUAUAGAGUGGAAUUGCGCUAGCUAUUUUUGAUAUUCAUCAUUAGUACAGUUGGCAAUAUGAGGAAGAAGUGGACAUAACAUUGAUAGCCACAGAAGAAUCACCAUGACACAAAAAGAAGGAACUAGGGAAUGAGAAGAGACCUAGGGAUACAGAAUAGAAGACUUUAAAUAGCCAAGGACUGAAUGUGUUCCAAAAAGUUUCUUACAAUAAAGCAAGUGCAAAGGGUCUCAGUUAACACUGGCCAGUAUGAAGAACUAGUGAAUCCUGAAACCUAGACUCAGAAGCCACAAUGCUAUUCACUGCCAAGGGCUGAUGAGUCCUGAGUUCCUAGACUACACAGGAGCUGUAACACUUGUAGGGAAAGCAUCCUAGAAUCUUAAGGACACAGAAGAGCUGGAAAACCAUAGUGGACCAUCUGCGGCUGCUCUUGUCUGUCUGCUUUUUCUGCUUUGUAUUGACAGGUGACAAGGAAUAUAAACUCUGCCAGAGACCUGGUACUCUUCUUCUACCAAUGAUUGCCACCCCAGUAAAACAAAAGGACCCCAACAGAGGAUGGUUAACACUUCCAUCAUAAUGUGAACAAAAUUGGUUGCCUUGUCUAGCCUUACUAGAAGAGGAGGUGCCCAGUCUUACUGCAACUUGGUACGAAUGACUAGUUGAUAUCCAUAGAGACUGGCCUUUU